GGGGUUGUGGCUUAGUGGUAGAGCGCUUGCAAGCCUAGUAAGUGUGAGGCACUGGGUUUGAUUCUCAGUACCACA
rnacentral:tRNA from 1 species